CAGCCGCCGCGGGAAUACGGAGGGAGCUAGCGUUGUUCGGAAUUACUGGGCGUAAAGCGCGCGUAGGCGGUUACUCAAGUCAGAGGUGAAAGCCCGGGGCUCAACCCCGGAACUGCCUUUGAAACUAGGUGACUAGAAUCUUGGAGAGGUCAGUGGAAUUCCGAGUGUAGAGGUGAAAUUCGUAGAUAUUCGGAAGAACACCAGUGGCGAAGGCGGCUCACUGGACGACUGUUGACGCUGAGGUGCGAAAGCGUGGGGAGCAAACAGGAUUAGAUACCCCUGUAGUCCCUGUCUCUUAUAU
rnacentral:rRNA from 1 species